AUUCAGUUUCCCUGCCAAGGCCGGAAUUUUAAUAAUAAUGUGUACCACCUUCAAGUAUCAAUUAUUCUUUCAGUUUUCGAUUAUUAUUAUACACAUGGACUCUUACUAUUUCCGCCUAGACAAGUAAUGGCAUCGAUAAUGCUUACUACGAAGAUAUAAAUAGCGUCCCAUCUUGGACAUUGUGAAAUUUAAAUAAGCCGUUUCCCUGUGUCCAGGCCGCUUACUAUGACGACUGGUGCAAAUAAAAACGCCGCUGCUGCUGUUCAUCAAAGAGCUCUUAUACUGUUUUUGCCUAGACAAACAAUAGUAUCGGUACUGCUUAGUCCGCAUAUAUAAUUGGCGUCCCAUCUUGGUCAUUGUGAAAUUAAAAUAAGGAAAGUUUACGAGUUUGAAAACAGUUUUUAUAAAUAAAGCGGUCACAUAACUGUUUCCUUUUUGGCAUAGGGCAGGCCGCCAUAAGGCAACCGGACACAUUUUUCUGUGACGACGGCUGAAAACACAAAUUCCACUGCUGCUGUUGUCGCCGUUCUCGCCAGAGGUGCAAGGGAAGCAUUUGAAGCAACUUCAGCUUCAUGACAGUGCUGCCGCAGGAAAGGCUACUGCUAUUUCAUUUUGCUUUUACAUGCUGAUGCUGUAGUCUUCCGCUGAUAAUGUCUCUGUUUGGUUGACGAUAACGGCUUAGUCUGUUUGGAUGGCGAGAAUGGCUCAACAGGCUCAGGCUUCCACUGCUGCUGCUGAUGCUCCUGAAGCCUCCCUUGGAAGGCCGACUGUGAUGUAGCUGCUGACCACCCAGCCUAUAACACCUGUUGGAUGUCCGAAAGUGCUUACGGCUGCUGAUGCAUUUGUUGCUGCUACUCAGGCUGAAGCUGAAGUUUGAGUGGCCUCUGGGACGCAUUUGAUUACGUACAGGUCGAUUUUGAGCCCGCAAAAAAACUAAUUUUGUAUUUAACAGGUGAUGCUGAUAAUGCCUCACCGCUCAAAGUGUUCAGGCUGCUGCUGUCGCUUUAGGCUGCUUUUGUUACUUGGAAUACGCCUCCAUUUUCUUCUGCUGGACGUAAACUUUGUUAAAAGCCGUAUCUGCCUGUCAGCUUAGAGGAUUUUUAUGCAAACAAGCUUUGCAGUUUUGAUGGUAUUCUGAUGAAGCUUACCUUAGUUUCAUACAUUCCCUAUCGUUGAUACAACUGAUAGUAUAGUAUUAGUAUUAUCUUGAAGGUCGCUGCUGUUAACGCAGUCUUAACUGUUUGUAGCGAUGACGAAUCUUCUGGAUGGGGCGAUGCAGAUAUGAUCAUCCCCAAAAGAAAUUUUUGUGUUCCAUGGUUUGUUGUGGCACAUUUGCAUCCGGAAAGCAACAUUUAAAAUUUUAUUUUUGAUAAUAUAGCGCCUAUGCGCAAUUUAUUUAUACAGCUGAACCUUGACAUCCCCAAUGCUCGAGUGCAACCUGGAUAAUAUAAAAAGCGUUUAAAUUAAAUCCAUUUAAA